rnacentral:misc_RNA from 1 species
AAGACUAUAGACCUGCGGAGUACCUGCGGAGGGAUCAUUAUUGAAUGGUCUUAUGACCUUCAACCCCUCAAACCUGUGGAAGCAAAUUGUGCUUUGGCGCCUCGGCGCCAUAUCAAUGCUGAAUAGUUUUGUGUCUGAAUCAUAUACAAUUAUUAAAACUUUUAGCAAUGGAUCUCU